ensembl:ncRNA T06H11.11 ncRNA
AAAGAAGAUGAUGAAGUGGCGGAAAAAGAGGCUGAACUAAAUUGAGUCAGUCAAGUUCAGAAAAGACUAAUUUGUUGAGGAAGGCAACGGAGGAGGACAUGUGGGAUGGAAAAGAGCAUUACAUAGUUUGUCAUCCA